GGAGGGGUGGGUGAGCGGUUAAUACCAACAGACUGUAAAUCUGUCGUCCGAAAGGGCUACGCAGGUUCGAAUCCUGCCCCCUCCA
rnacentral:tRNA from 1 species